rnacentral:lncRNA from 1 species
CCAAAUCUAGUCCAAGAUCAUCUACACUUGUCUCAUACAAGUAACACACCUAACAGAUAUAAAACACAAAAGGGUGUACCUUAUCUAUUCCUUAAUGUGUGAUGAUAUUUAUAUGAAUAUAGGUGCAGUGAUUUUCUCGACCAUGAAAAAGAAGCGUAUUCAUCUGAAGAGCAGGUAUGGCUUUAGGGGUACAGGCUGCCUGUAAUCACUAGCACUAUUUAUGUAUCACAUACUAAGGGUGGUCCUACUUAUGGUGCUGUAUUGACUAUGCCCGAGCGCCAGGCUUGAAAUGAUGAAAUCACUUCCCAAUUGUAUGAGCUACAGAUGCUUCAGUUAUAGGUUGGUGGGCACCCAGCUACCCAGCAGGAGAUUAAAGAUAUAGCAUUGGACUAUCCUCUUGGUCAUCAUUCAAGGACCAUGCUACUGAUAGGCACUAAUUUUAUAGAUCCAAUUGAUGAUGAUAUACCAACUGACGAGAAGUGUCGGC